rnacentral:lncRNA from 1 species
CGGGAAAAGCCACAAGCUCUCAUCUGGGAAAUGGGGCAAUGUCACAGGAGGUUGGGGGGUGCAGGCCACUCCAGCUGGGACCUUUCCUGCCCAGUCCAAGGAGCCACUAUUUUCCAGAGAAUGGAGAGAGCAGGAGGCCCCAGUACAUCUCUGUGGCCUUGCAGGGCUGCCCCAUGCGGGCAUGGCACAGCAGGAAUGCCCAACCAGCACACCUGAGUCUUUCCAACAAAGGACUGGAGGAGAGUCGACUCGGCGUGGCUCUGAGGGUCAGGGCAGGAGAGAGAUGAGGAGGUCCCUGUUGGCCCAGGUGGACCUGACCAGGGGUGGGGGAUACCCGUGGAACAUCUGGACCGAGAGCCUCAAAAAUGGCACAAAGGGCACACUGGAGAGCACUCAGUGGCCACAGGGUCCACACAAGAGAGAGCAAGGUUAGUGAUUGCAAAGGGCCCUGAGGCCAUUUUUGAGGGUGCACCAUUGGCCUGGAGCCCAUGAAAGCCAGAAACACACGACGAAUGUGACCCAAGACACCGAGGCC